rnacentral:rRNA from 1 species
AUGAACGCUAGCGGCAGGCCUAACACAUGCAAGUCGAGGGGUAUAGUUCUUCGGAACUAGAGACCGGCGCACGGGUGCGUAACGCGUAUGCAAUCUACCUUUUACAGGGGAAUAGCCCAGAGAAAUUUGGAUUAAUGCCCCAUAGUAUAUAAACUUCGCAUGUUGUUUAUAUUAAAGUUCCAACGGUAAAAGAUGAGCAUGCGUCCCAUUAGUUAGUUGGUAAGGUAACGGCUUACCAAGACGAUGAUGGGUAGGGGUCCUGAGAGGGAGAUCCCCCACACUGGUACUGAGACACGGACCAGACUCCUACGGGAGGCAGCAGUGAGGAAUAUUGGUCAAUGGGCGCAAGCCUGAACCAGCCAUGCCGCGUGCAGGAAGAAGCAUCUAUGGUGUGUAAACUGCUUUUGUACGGGAAGAAACACUCCCUCGUGAGGGAGCUUGACGGUACCGUAAGAAUAAGGAUCGGCUAACUCCGUGCCAGCAGCCGCGGUAAUACGGAGGAUCCAAGCGUUAUCCGGAAUCAUUGGGUUUAAAGGGUCCGUAGGCGGUUUAAUAAGUCAGUGGUGAAAUCUGGUCGCUCAACGAUCAAACGGCCAUUGAUACUGUUAGACUUGAAUUACAAGGAAGUAACUAGAAUAUGUAGUGUAGCGGUGAAAUGCUUAGAUAUUACAUGGAAUACCAAUUGCGAAGGCAGGUUACUACUUGUGGAUUGACGCUGAUGGACGAAAGCGUGGGGAGCGAACAGGAUUAGAUACCCUGGUAGUCCACGCCCGUAAACGAUGGAUACUAGCUGUUGGGGGGCACCUUCAGUGGCUAAGCGAAAGUUGAUAAGUAUCCCAUCUGGGGGAGUACGUUCGCAAGAAUGAAACUCAAAGGAAUUGACGGGGGCCCGCACAACCGGUGGAGCAUGUGGUU